GAUGAACGCUGGCGGCGUGCCUAAUACAUGCAAGUCGAGCGAACAGACGAGGAGCUUGCUCCUCUGACGUUAGCGGCGGACGGGUGAGUAACACGUGGAUAACCUACCUAUAAGACUGGGAUAACUUCGGGAAACCGGAGCUAAUACCGGAUAAUAUAUUGAACCGCAUGGUUCAAUAGUGAAAGACGGUUUUGCUGUCACUUAUAGAUGGAUCCGCGCCGCAUUAGCUAGUUGGUAAGGUAACGGCUUACCAAGGCAACGAUGCGUAGCCGACCUGAGAGGGUGAUCGGCCACACUGGAGCUGAGACGCGGUCCAGGCUCCUACGGGAGGCAGCAGUAGGGAAUCUUCCGCAAUGGGCGAAAGCCUGACGGAGCAGCGCCGCGUGAGUGAUGAAGGUCUUCGGAUCGUAAAACUCUGUUAUUAGGGAAGAACAAAUGUGUAAGUAGCUAUGCACGUCUUGACGGUACCUAAUCAGAAAGCCACGGCUAACUACGUG
rnacentral:rRNA from 1 species